rnacentral:rRNA from 1 species
GACGAACGCUGGCGGCGUGCUUAACACAUGCAAGUCGAACGGUGAACCCCUUCGGAGGGGGUCUGCGGGGAAGGGGAGCGUAACAGGUGGGCAAGCUGCCCCCGCCCCUGGGAUAAGUAUAAGUACUUGGAGCUAAUGCUGGUACUGCACCGCUUCUCGUACGGCAGGUGGUGGAAAGGUUUUGCGGCUGGGGAUGGGCCCGCGGCCUAUCAGCUUGUUGGUGGGGUAGUGGCCUACCAAGGCUACGACGGGUAGCCGGCCUGAGAGGGUGACCGGCCACACUGGGACUGAGACACGGCCCAGACUCCUACGGGAGGCAGCAGUGGGGAAUAUUGCGCAAUGGGCGGAAGCCUGACGCAGCGACGCCGCGUGCGGGAUGACGGCCUUCGGGUUGUAAACCGCUUUCGGCUGUGACGAAGCGCGAGUGACGGUACCUGGAGAAGAAGCACCGGCCAACUACGUG